UUUUGUUUUGUUUUUGUUUUCUUUCUAUAAAAAAAUUGCAUUUUUGUUGAAAGUUUUAGGCUAUAGGUUACUUUGAGUCGAGUUUGCGGAGACUUGGGAAAAAUUCACAAGAGGUAUUGUUUUAACACCGUAAGUCUCCUGCAUAUGGAAAUUGAUUUGAAUUUUUAUUAUGUUUUAGCCUUACAUUCUCAUCCUCUGACAACUCUUGAGUAGUUUAUUUCAGCAGUCAGCACCAUCUCACACACACUCUACACAGGGAAGCCGAUGAAUAUAAGUGAGUGUUCCAAAAAAGAAAAAUAAAAGAAAAAUAAAAGGGAAUGCACCUUCUAAGUUUGGUGACCCUCACCCAGUCACUUAACCCAACAGAUGUAGAACCUUCAAAAAAAAAUUGAAAAUAAGACUCGUUGUCAGUUGGUUCAGCGGUUUCUGGUGCUGGACUUGGUAAGGCAGAUUAGGGUCUG
rnacentral:lncRNA from 1 species